AUGAGAAUACACCUUAUCUGCUACAGGCAGUGGUGUAGACUCAGUGGGUCGAUUCUCGUGAUUUCUCAUGAGCAGGUCAUUAUUUCGCUCAGCCACAAGUAGGAGAGAAAUCAAUUCAGAGUACUUUGUGAAGCCUUUUUCUCUGUACUGUUGUUGCAGUACCAUAUUGGAGGCAUGAAACGUUGUAAACGUUUUCUCAAGCAUAUCAUAAUCGGAGCUAUUAUCCCCGCAUAGCUUCAAUUUAGAAGUAAUUCUGAACAUUGCAGAAUUAUAUUCAGAAAAGGACUUAAAGUCCUGGAGCCUCAGAUGAGCCCAAUCAUAUCGUGCUUGUGGGAGAGUGGCCAACUUCAGGUUCAAUCAUAUCGUGCUUGUGGCAGAGUGACCAACUUCAGGUUGUCAUAUCUCUCCUUUAAGCCUUUCCACAAGAUGAGUGGACCCUUGACGGUGAGAUAUUCAAUCUUCAAACCUUCAUCAAGGUGAUGGCGCAAGAAAAGGCCUUAGCACAAUCUUGGGUGGAUGCUUUAUAUCUAUGUUUAAUGGUGUCUCCAAGACCCAUAGCAUCUAAGUGGAUUUCAGCAUCCAACACCCAUG
rnacentral:lncRNA from 1 species